ensembl:snRNA U6 U6 spliceosomal RNA
GUGAUUGCUUCUGCAGCACAUAUACUAAAUUGAAAUGAUACAGAGAUUAGCAUGGCCCCAAUGCAAGAAUGACAUGCCAAACUCAUUAAGUGUUCCAAAAUUUA